rnacentral:piRNA from 1 species
CUGUUUGUUUCCUCAUGGGC